rfam:Carnobacterium maltaromaticum LMA28 complete genome
GGUUGGGCGCAAGCUUUCAAGGUAAUUUCUUCAGGGGUGAGAAGAA